GUCGUUACAUGGCAGCAAAGAUUCUGUGAUCUUGAAUGUGGCUCACUCAGGUUGAGGCUCGGUCACUUCUCUGUGGCUUUGCUGGGCCCUGCCAAUUUCCUUUAAUGCGGCAAUCUUGACUGCAUCAUUUCUGCUAGCGGGGAUGUCAUUUGCACUUCUCUC